ensembl:lncRNA
CACUUGACCUUCUAACCACCCUCUCGGAGACACAAGAAAAACAUCCAGGGGGCUGCUAAUGCAGUGAGAUCUGAAUCAGAUGAUAUUCAGGAGGGCUCAGAAGAGGGAAACAAGGCAGAAGAAUGCUCUGAGCUGCAGAAUGUGGCUCCGGGAAGAGCAGGCCAGGGUGGCAAUGUCUUUGCUGCUUUCUUUUUGUUCCAUGGCAGACGCUGGAGCACAUGACAUUGGGUAGCUGAGGACACUGGCUCUGUGCACUAUCUUCUUCUUCAGCAAGCUGGCAUGGAGACCCAACUCAGGUGUCUCAGAGGUGCAGCCUUUGGCUAAGCAUCUUCCUGCUGGGACCUGGACCAUGUUCCUGCCCUGUUUGAGUUCCUGUCCUGACUUUCCUUCGGCAAUGAAUGGUGACAUGAAACUGUAAGCCAAAUAAACCUUUUCCUUCCCAAGUUUCUUCGGUUAUGGUGUCUCAUCGCAGCAACAGUAACCUUAAGUAAGACAGUACCCAAGCUUCUGUUUUGUGUUCACUCAAAUGCUAAGAAUGUUAUUGUGUAGUUUGGCUGUAGCACUGGGGAGAGGGGCAUGUCCACCAAUUAGUGAGGUGGUCCACAGUAACCAUUAACUAUCCACUUACUUUAGACAUCUCAGUGACGUGUACCUGGAUACCUCAGAAUGGCCUGAGCACAUAAUUUCUCUCUCCUGAAAGCUGUUGGUGAAG